rnacentral:rRNA from 1 species
AUGUUUUGGCGGCCUCCUCGUCGGAGGGCCGCCAGAGACAAUGAAUCUCUUAAGUUGGGACUGCCGGGGGCGGGGAACCCCCGGACAGUUCAUGAUCUCGCGGCUAUGGUAAAGUUGCAUUCCCCCAUGCUCGUUUUUUUGUGUGAAACAUGUCAGAAAGCGAGUCGGAUGAAGAGGAUAUGAGUCCACCUUGACCUUAAAGGUUUUGAAGGUGUUGAUAGCAAUGGUAUUAGCGGUGGUUUGGCCUUAUUUUGGCAUGAACCAUAUCAAGUUACAGUGCUUGACAAGGGAGAUCAGUUCAUUGAUGUUGUCACUAGCCCGGAUGGUACCGAGCAAUGGAGACUAACGGCAGUAUAUGGAGAGCCUAGAGUGGAAGAUCGACACUUGAUGUGGACAAUUAUGCAAAAUCUUAAACAAGUUUCAGAGCUUCCAUGGCUCGUCGUUGGCGAUUUCAAUGAGGCACUUUGGGGUUUUGAGCAUUUGUCGCUAACUCCUAGACCUGAAGCUCAAAUGGCAACAUUCAGGUAUGCACUUAUGACAUGUGAAUUGGUUGAUCUAGGCUUCACUGAAGUUCCAUAUACGUAUGAUAAUAUGAGAGCGAGAUCUGCAAAUGUACGAGUUCGACUCGACCACGCGGUGGCCACAAACCCGUGGAGGAACAUGUUUCCGUUUACCUUAGUGCAACAUUUGGCGUCACCCAGCUUGGACCAUGUCCCUUUGCUAGUGCGGGGUGCAGCGGAACAACUACGGACAACUGCAAAGUCACGGAGAUAUGUAAUCUUCUAG